rnacentral:rRNA from 1 species
AUUGAACGCUGGCGGCAUGCUUUACACAUGCAAGUCGAACGGCAGCGCGGGCUUCGGCCUGGCGGCGAGUGGCGAACGGGUGAGUAAUGCAUCGGAACGUGCCCAGUCGUGGGGGAUAGCCCGGCUAAAGCCGGAUUAAUACCGCAUACGACCUGAGUGUGAAAGCGGGGGACCGAAAGGCCUCGCGCUAUUGGAGCGGCCGAUGUCGGAUUAGCUAGUUGGUGGGGUAAAGGCUUACCAAGGCGACGAUCCGUAGCUGGUCUGAGAGGACGACCAGCCACACUGGGACUGAGACACGGCCCAGACUCCUACGGGAGGCAGCAGUGGGGAAUUUUGGACAAUGGGGGCAACCCUGAUCCAGCCAUGCCGCGUGCGGGAAGAAGGCCUUCGGGUUGUAAAACGCUUUUGUUCGGGAAGAAAUCCUCUGGGCUAAUACCCCGGGGGGAUGACGGUACCGGAAGAAUAAGCACCGGCUAACUACGUG